rnacentral:lncRNA from 1 species
GCCAAAGCCAUGAAUGAAAGGAGGGUGUGACUAAGUCUGAAAGGAUCACAGUGCCAACCAUUGUGAGGUAGGGGUGAAUCAACAGAAGCAGGCUACCGAAUUUCCAGGAGCAGUCACCAUGCACUUGUUGAGCAAAAGACAAGGAGUGUCCUCAAAAGCAAAUUCCAACACAGACAGUCUCUAGCAUAUGAGAAGCAAAGCUAUCUCCUCCUUAACCUCAGGCCUGGGUUUUGAUAUCAACGGCUCAACGAAGCUCUUCUGACCAUGCUAUCUCAGCUGAUGAACUUGUGGAGGGCAGAGGCCAUGUCUUCCCUUUCCAGUACAUAGCCAGGCUCCAGCUCAUUCCAGACACUCAAGACAUGACUGCGUUAUGGAAAGGAAGAACUACCAAACCAGAGAAGCCAGAAAGGAAGAAUGAAUUUCAAUGUUGCCUGUGUAGUUUAAAUUUCUCACAGACAAAAGUUUUGGGGUCUGGCAAGAUUAAGCUUCUAAACCACUGUUUUCUAAGGCCUCUUUCUGCUAUCAGUCUGGAACAAGGAGCUGGAGGAAGUGGAGGCAAGGCGGAAGGAGAAAAAAGAAUCAUCGAACGUUUGUGCAUGCAGAAGAGUUAGAGUCAUCUUGGGAGCUAAAUACAAGAGUCAGAACAAUC